rnacentral:lncRNA from 1 species
GAAUUUUCCAGGCAAGAGUACUAGAGUGGAUUGCCAUUUCCUUCUCCAGAUGAUCUUCCCAACUCCAGAGACUGAAUCUGAGUCUCCUGCAUUGGCAGGCAGAUUCUUUACCACUACACCACCUAGGAAGCCCAUCAACUAUAUCCCAAUAAAGAAAUAUGUAAGUGUCUAGUUGGGGCUCAGAUUCACAAUGGCAGUCUCCAUGCCCGACAUGCCUGCAUCUCUAGGACGCCAUGGCUCCUGGAAGUCCUUCUGGGCACUGAGGGUUGAUCUGUGUGUGUGUCACACCGCAUAUCUAAACCCAGCUCUCCCCACUCGCCACAUCUAUGUUCUCCUACCCAGACUCAUUGUGUGCCACUGGCUAAAGUGUGCCAUCACGUUCAACAUUUCAGCUCCCCUUGCUUCGACUUCAAUCCAGUUCUCUAUGGCCUUGGACCUGCACUGUAUCAUAUUGGGUUUUUCUAACUUUUCCACAUGCUGCCACAUCCCUGCCUUUACCCACCUAAUAUCACUUAAGAAACUGUGAUGACUUACAUUCGCGUUUCAGGCUAUGUCCACACUUGUAGGGCUGCAUUCGCAGAAUGACUCCCACCUAAGGACCUCAAUUUGCUUCCCCAGAUUUAUCCUUCGCUGUAGGCCUUCUUCUUCCUUCCCCUGAAUCCCUCUCACUUGUCUUUCACUGUCCUCUCCUGCAAGACCUGCCUCUUCUCAUUCUCAUAACUCCAAUGUGAGACUUUCUCCACAACUCACAGGUCACUUUUCUCAAAGCUUACAACUUCUGAGCAUCAUAAAACUCACCCUACUCAUGAAAUUUUCAGCACCUAUGUUUGCAGUGCAUUUUCCCAGAAUAAGUAUUAGCUUCUGCAUCACCUUCCAAAUGCACUCAAGUUAUUAGGUAAGCCAAACCAUCCACUGCUUGGUUUUGAUGAAAAUCCCUUUCCUGGGUAGAGACGCGUGUGAGUUCCAAAACAAAAUGGGAACUGAGGGGGGAAUAGCAUUUCCCUUUUACAUAUGAGGAUGUUACGUCCCAGAGAAUUGAAUUUCUUAUCACAGCAGCAUCACCUUCAUUAGUAGCAGAAUUAGCAUUAAUACCCAGAUAUUUUGGUUGUGAAUUUCAGGCUUUUACUACCAUAUGUACUUUUGGAAGCAUAUUCUCUAAGGUUGACGCCAUACCUUGUGGAUAUAUUUUACAUUUCAACAUCAUAAACCACAUGUACUUGCUUCUAUGUACUGAAUGAAAAACUGAAUAAUGUGUAUAGUCUCCGAUUAAGAAAUCUUUCGUAUAGAAGGUCAAAAUCUACCCAGAAGAGUUUACUACUACACGUUUUCCACUGUUGAGUUCAGUUCAGUCGCUCAGUUGUUUCUGACUCUUUGCAACCCCAUGAAU